rnacentral:rRNA from 1 species
GUGACUGCGUACCUUUUGUAUAAUGGGUCAGCGACUUACAUUUAGUAGCGAGGUUAAGCGAAUAGCGGAGCCGUAGGGAAACCGAGUGUUAACUGCGCGUUUAGUUGCUAGGUGUAGACCCGAAACCCGGUGAUCUAGCCAUGGGCAGGUUGAAGGUUGAGUAACAUCAACUGGAGGACCGAACCGACUAAUGUUGAAAAAUUAGCGGAUGACUUGUGGCUGGGGGUGAAAGGCCAAUCAAACCGGGAGAUAUCUGGUUCUCCUCGAAAGCUAUUUAGGUAGCGCCUCGGACGAACACCUUUGGGGGUAGAGCACUGUUAAGGCUAGGGGGUCAUCCCGACUUACCAACCCUUUGCAAACUCCGAAUACCAAAGAGUGCUAUCCGGGAGACAGACGGCGGGUGCUAACGUCCGUCGUCAAAAGGGAAACAACCCAGACCGUCAGCUAAGGUCCCAAAGUAAUUGCUAAGUGGGAAACGAUGUGGGAAGGCUUAGACAGCUAGGAUGUUGGCUUAGAAGCAGCCAUCAUUUAAAGAAAGCGUAAUAGCUCACUAGUCGAGUCGGCCUGCGCGGAAGAUGUAACGGGGCUAAGCAAUUCACCGAAGCUACGGGUACUGAUGCUUGCAUCAGUGCGGUAGAGGAGCGUUCUGUAAGCCGUUGAAGGCGAAGGGGUAACCCACGCUGGAGGUAUCAGAAGUGCGAAUGCUGACAUGAGUAACGAUAAAGGGGGUGAAAAACCCCCUCGCCGAAAGACCAAGGGUUCCUGUCCAACGUUAAUCGGGGCAGGGUGAGUCGACCCCUAAGGCGAGGCUGAAAGGCGUAGUCGAUGGGAAACGGGUUAAUAUUCCCGUACUUCUGCUAACUGCGAUGGAGAGACGGAGAAGGCUAGGCCGGCGCGGCGUUGGUUGUCCGCGUUUAAGGUAGUAGGUGGUGUGCUUAGGCAAAUCCGGGCACACAUACACUGAGAGCUGACGACGAGUCCCUAAGGGGAUGAAGUGGUUGAUGCCAUGCUUCCAGGAAAAUCUUCUAAGCUUCAGGUUAGCAGGAAUCGUACCCCAAACCGACACAGGUGGUCGGGUAGAGAAUACCAAGGCGCUUGAGAGAACUCGGCUGAAGGAACUAGGCAAAAUGGUACCGUAACUUCGGGAGAAGGUACGCUCCUGUUGGUGAUGAGACUUGCUCUCUGAGCUGACGGGAGUCGCAGAUACCAGGUGGCUGCAACUGUUUAUCAAAAACACAGCACUGUGCAAAAUCGCAAGAUGACGUAUACGGUGUGACGCCUGCCCGGUGCCGGAAGGUUAAUUGAUUGGGUUAUCUUCGGAGAAGCUCAUGAUCGAAGCCCCGGUAAACGGCGGCCGUAACUAUAACGGUCCUAAGGUAGCGAAAUUCCUUGUCGGGUAAGUUCCGACCUGCACGAAUGGCGUAAUGAUGGCCACGCUGUCUCCAGCCGAGACUCAGUGAAGUUGAAAUUGCGGUGAAGAUGCCGUAUACCCGCGGCUAGACGGAAAGACCCCGUGAACCUUUACUAUAGCUUGGCACUGAACAUUGACCCUACAUGUGUAGGAUAGGUGGGAGACUAUGAAGAUGAGACGCCAGUCUUGUUGGAGUCAACCUUGAAAUACCACCCUUGUAGUGUUGAUGUUCUAACCUGGGCCCCUAAUCGGGGUUAGGGACAGUGCCUGGUGGGUAGUUUGACUGGGGCGGUCUCCUCCCAAAGAGUAACGGAGGAGCACGAAGGUUGGCUAAGUACGGUCGGACAUCGUACGGUUAGUGUAAUGGCAUAAGCCAGCUUAACUGCGAGACAGACACGUCGAGCAGGUGCGAAAGCAGGUCAUAGUGAUCCGGUGGUUCUGAAUGGAAGGGCCAUCGCUCAACGGAUAAAAGGUACUCCGGGGAUAACAGGCUGAUACCGCCCAAGAGUUCAUAUCGACGGCGGUGUUUGGCACCUCGAUGUCGGCUCAUCACAUCCUGGGGCUGAAGUCGGUCCCAAGGGUAUGGCUGUUCGCCAUUUAAAGUGGUACGCGAGCUGGGUUCAGAACGUCGUGAGACAGUUCGGUCCCUAUCUGCCGUGGGCGUUGGAUGAUUGAGGGGAGCUGCUCCUAGUACGAGAGGACCGGAGUGGACGAACCGCUGGUGUUCGGGUUGUCAUGCCAAUGGCAUUGCCCGGUAGCUACGUUCGGAAUCGAUAACCGCUGAAAGCAUCUAAGCGGGAAGCGAGCCCCAAGAUGAGUCAUCCCUAGGGCCUAGAGCCCUCUGAAGAGCCGUUCGAGACCAGGACGUUGAUAGGCAGGGUGUGUAAGCGUUGCGAGGCGUUGAGCUAACCUGUACUAAUGACUCGAGAGGCUUAACCAU